rnacentral:rRNA from 1 species
CCUACGGGGGGCUGCAGUGGGGAAUAUUGGACAAUGGGGGGAACCCUGAUCCAGCCAUGCCGCGUGUGUGAAGAAGGCCCUCGGGUUGUAAAGCACUUUCAGUGAGGAAGAACGCCUGGUGGUUAAUACCCAUCAGGAAAGACAUCACUCACAGAAGAAGUACCGGCUAACUCCGUGCCAGCAGCCGCGGUAAUACGGAGGGUGCGAGCGUUAAUCGGAAUUACUGGGCGUAAAGCGCGCGUAGGUGGCUUGAUAAGCCGGUUGUGAAAGCCCCGGGCUCAACCUGGGAACGGCAUCCGGAACUGUCAAGCUAGAGUGCAGGAGAGGAAGGUAGAAUUCCCGGUGUAGCGGUGAAAUGCGUAGAGAUCGGGAGGAAUACCAGUGGCGAAGACGGCCUUCUGGACUGACACUGACACUGAGGUGCGAAAGCGUGGGUAGCAAACAGGAUUAGAUACCCGUGUAGUC